rnacentral:misc_RNA from 1 species
UUGCACGAGUAAGAGCAACGUUCAUUCGCCGUAUAUCUGCAACAAACCCAACUCCAUGACCUGAGGCACGCACACAUGACAUUAUAAUAACAUCACGCUCUUGACCCUGGAAAGCAUCAACAGUAUUUAUGUAAAUGUCCUUUCCUUCUUCAGAAUUUAAAACAUCCCCGAACUCCCUUUGGAGGCAUUUAAGUUGCAGCUUGUAUGGAGUGAUUAUACCUACAGUGACCUUCCCAACACCAAGAGAUUUACAAGUUUUUUGAAGAUGCUCAUACAAACGAAGACAGAACUGUGCUUCAUGUGUAUUCUGAUAUGAAACGGAUCCACCUCUAUGUGAUUCCCG